rnacentral:rRNA from 1 species
UACGUAGGGUGCGAGCGUUAAUCGGAAUUACUGGGCGUAAAAGCGUGCGCAGGCGGUGAUGUAAGACAGAUGUGAAAUCCCCGGGCUCAACCUGGGAACUGCAUUUGUGACUGCAUCGCUGGAGUGCGGCAGAGGGGGAUGGAAUUCCGCGUGUAGCAGUGAAAUGCGUAGAUAUGCGGAGGAACACCGAUGGCGAAGGCAAUCCCCUGGGCCUGCACUGACGCUCAUGCACGAAAGCGUGGGGAGCAACAGG